GCCUGGAUGGCUCAGUGGGUUAAGCAUCUGCCUUUGGCUCAGGUCAUGAUUUCAGGGUCCUAGGAUCAAGGACCUGGUUCAGGCU
rnacentral:tRNA from 1 species